UUCUAAACUCAGGGUUGAUGAAUGCAAUUUUGCUUGAAACAAAGAUAUUUAAGGGAAAGAGUGAUAAAAAACUAAUCGGGGAAAAUGAUUGAUACAUUUAAUGACUUCAUUGAAGCUUUCUGAUAUAGCUAGUUGGCAAGAUCAGGCAAUUGAAAUUGAUAGGUUCAUUAUGAGGGAGGUUGGGGGGACCAAAUGAUCCCAUCUCUUUAGCACCAACAGAGCGAUUGCCUGUUAUGACCAGAUGCAGAUGGGACCAUAUACCAAGUGAAAAAAGCUAGAUGAGGUAAAUGUUUCUGUCUAAGAACAAACAAAGAGUCAAAUCAUCAUGAAGUAUAGGCAAAAUCUAUGAGAUUCCAAUUUGUGGGGUCGUCUUUCUAGGCAAUUUGGAUUAGCUUGGAGGCUUAUCUUCACCCCAGAAUGAUAGUGUUUCUUUCUUGCAGUCCAGUUGUUUGUUGAAAACACACAAAGAAGUAGAUUAAGUUUUAAUUAAUUACAAAGGAAUCUUGUCGUACCAAAAUUAUUUUUAUAGGACUAUAGGACGAUUACGUCAAGAAAAAUUGUCCCAUUUUGAAUCAAAUCAAGACGGCAUCUUUAGAAAAUUUUAUUGCAGAUAAGAUCAAAAAUUUCACCACCAACAAGUACAAGUAUUAUUCUAUAACGAGUGGCUUUCUUUUGUUAUCACCUAACCAUAAGCUUUUUUUUUUUUCAUUCGUCAAAAUCAUAGCCUAUAGGAUUUUUAAUGUCUUUUCUUCGUGAAAAUCAUAGCCUAUAGGAUUCAAUAGCACACAAAUUUAGUGUUAAUGUGAUUAUUAGUUUCUUACCUCUUCAGUUCCUGUUGUUUUCCUCUGAUUGACGUCCAAGAAUAUGUGUCAAAAGCUUCAAAUCAACUUUUUUAUUAGUGGUCCGUCCACUAUGAGAAGGGGGGAAAAAAAAUCAAGAACUUCUACGGUGCCCAAGUCACGGUUGUGAAUGGUCUGGCAUCUGAAAAUGAAGUUGGCAACUACGGUAUACAGAUUCGGUUCAGUUCUAAGCAUCAGAAUCAAAUUAAAUAUAGUUGAAUUUUUCAGCUUUAAUCAGGAUGGUUUGAAAUGUUUAAUGUUCAAUUUUUGACUUUGGAAAGGACUUGUGCAAUUACUAAAGUUUAAUUGUUGAGUUGGAUUCGUAUGGAACCGUGGCCUGAUUAGAACCAGAACUCCUUCAGCUAGUCUGAGAAAACUUUUCCUCCUUCACAUACCCAACAUUCUUUGCAUUUCAAGGUUCAAACUUUGGCUACAGCUUUAUGGCUCAAUAUGGUGCAAGAGCAAGACUGGUCUUUCUAUAGAUGUAAGAAGAAUCCAUGGGAGCUAAAACUCCCCCUUGGCUCCCGGAUGAACCCUUGGUCGCAGAGGUCAUCAUUGAGAUGGUGGACUUCAAUGGGGUGGAAUUACACAAGAAAACGCUGCACAGGACAUCAACAUGCUGAUCUUUCUCUUGUUAGCCAGCUAAGAAGCUUUUUCUUGGUGGAGGGCAUUGCAGUGUGAAAGAGUCUAAAUCGUUGGCACCCGACUCAUCCGAUUGCGGAGGUUAAAGAUAGUGAAUUUUCAAGGAAGAGAUGGUAGAUUGGACUGAAGGUAGUACUAAAGUAAAUAUGAUUCUUAUGCGGCCAGUGUGGAAACCACAGACCUCUCAAUUUUUGGAAAUUCCUCCAGGUCCAUAAUUUCAGUGGACCAAUCAGAGUUCUGGACAUGGGAGGAAUUCUAGCCAAGCCAGAUGUUCACCUUGUGGUUGAGAUUUGCAACUUGGGUUCUCUCCCUGGGGUUGCAAGGGCUUUUACUGCAGCAUUUGACAGAGAGAAUACUGGAGGAGGUUUUUUAACUGGUCAUUUACCUUAUUGAACCAAAGCUAUUUGGUACGUAUAAGGGAAAUAUCCUACUCUCCUCGCAUGCCAGGUAAAAGAAUUAAUUGUACUUCCUUUCCCUACCAGAUAUUUCAUACUGUACAAGCAAAUCUAGCAAUAUUCAUGCGAUUGAGAUUGAAACUGAACAAAAGAUAGCAUAUAAUAACACUAAUCACAAGGUUCUGUAUGCAUAUCAGGGGUAAAAUUUCCAAGUUUGACUCACAUUAGAAUAUUUGGAACUGCACCAUCAAUGGAACUUCUUAAUAUAUGGAAUGAAAGGGAAAGAGAUGUAGAAGAGAAUGGGCUAAAUCUUUCAAACUGUGCCACGUUUUGCAUUCUAGACCACUAGCAAAUCUACCGUCAAGGAAAGGAUGCCAUGUCGGGAAGCUAUGAUAUUAAAAUAAUGAGGAUUUUGAGAAAACCCAUGGAAGAAUUUUGGUUUCUGUACCCUUUGCCUUGCUGCAAAUUCUGAAAGCAAAUCUUCAAACUUUUAAUCACCAAAAACUUGUAGGGUAGCCAACUUGAGUAUUCUUUAUGCCACGUUGCAACUGUAAACUGUCUACAAUAAUUCUGGUAAUAGAUGUUGAUUGAUAGCAUUGAAUUGAACAAAUUUCUAGCUGCAAGAAAUCUACUAAUUCUAACAGCUGAAUAUAAUCAUGCAUGUCCAGAUCCAGAACGAGACUCGUGAAUGGGAAAAGAUUACCGAGGCAGCAGGAACAAUCCCAGGAAGAGAGAAUGGGGAAACUGGGACAUAAAAGAAUCUCAGUAGAGGCCAAAAUAAUACCUUCCAGGAUUUGCAGAAAGAAGCAAAUCUUAGUAUUGACAUCCACUUCCCUCAAGGUGAUGGCUUUUAAGAUAAUUGGAUUCCGCGAGACGUUGGUCCCAAACCCAGCCAGGUGCCUGUUGGACCCCGGGCAGUGUGGAAACCAGAUGUCCUAAAAUGCACUUAUGACGGAAACUUGCCCAAUCACAAAGAACUCCAGGUCCAUGUCAUAAAUACAGCCAAGGUACUUCAUGGAAGCAUGCUAAAUCUUCCAUGUCACUUUUCAUUUAUCUAGAUUCAAUUGCAACUUUUAAGCACUGUUCAUCUGUCAAUUAACUUUGGGUUAUGCCGCCGAAAAAUCAUUUCAAAAGAUAAAAUAAUUCAUAAUUUUA